rnacentral:rRNA from 1 species
UACGAAGGGGGCUAGCGUUGUUCGGAAUUACUGGGCGUAAAGCGCACGUAGGCGGAUCGUUAAGUCAGGGGUGAAAUCCUGGAGCUCAACUCCAGAACUGCCUUUGAUACUGGCGAUCUUGAGUCCGGAAGAGGUGAGUGGAACUCCUAGUGUAGAGGUGGAAUUCGUAGAUAUUAGGAAGAACACCAGUGGCGAAGGCGGCUUUCUGGUCUGUAACUGACGCUGAGGCGCGAAAGCGUGGGGAGCAAACAGG